GAUUAAUUAAAGGGAGUGAUGUUAUCCAGCCCUCUAUUGUCUGGAAAAACAAAGGUGAAAAUGCAACAAUGGACUGCAAUCACACCAAAGGCGAUUUAUAUUUCCAGAUGUACUGGUACAGACAGCUGCCAGGAGAAACUAUGAAACUAAUUGUCUUCACAAGCACAGGCAUGAAUCAGCAUGAUUUUGGAGAGUUCAGCAAAGACAAAUUCUCAGCCACCAAAACUGUUGCUCGCAGUGGGACUUUCACAGUGAAGAAUCUGGAGCCUAAAGACGAAGGCUUUUAUUUCUGUGCUGUCAGUCAGCACA